CCGGCAUUCACAUCAAACUGGGAAGCAGCCCUUCCCUGGAAUGAGUUAAUCAGUACCUCACGACAGAAAAAACUUCAUCCAUAGUUCCCCAUGUUCUGCCAGAGAACAGGUGCACAAGAAAUGCAAAACAGAAGAUAAAGAUGCUACAACCAUCAACUCAAUAAAAUUAGGCAAUGGCCUGCCUGCAUGAAGACAGAGAAGGAAUCCAAUAAGAUAUUAGAAGACACAGACCAAAAAUCACCAUUGGACUAAAAAAGUGCAUUAAGAGCAUAUGAAGGGCAGGUAUGCAAUCUUAAGCAUAUAAUUGCCUGGGGAUUUCUUUGUUCAUGGUCCCUCUCUGAAGGCAUUCAGCUCAAGCUGACCUGUUGCUGUACCAUUCUGUUAAAUUCUUUAUUUUUAUAAA